rnacentral:lncRNA from 1 species
GUGUGAUGAACCUGUGUGAUGUUCGUACAAGAGUAGAUCUGAAUGAUAUUCACUGGGCACCAACCAUCGUUAUUAAUAAAUCUUGCACAUGAAGUGGCAUUUAAAGUGUGAUGACCUUAAUAAAACCACACGUGCAAGAAGGUCUGACUCCUGCUCAUCUCAGAAAAGCCAAGCUGAUGUUCUUCUACACGCGGUACCCCAGCUCCACUGUGCUGAAAACCUUCUUUGCCGAUGUGAAGGUAAAAAGCCACAGUGACACAUUUUAAUCAUGAAAUAUGACGCGGAGAGCUUGUUCAAGUAUUUUAUUAAAAGCAGAAACGGACCACUUCACUUACCAGACUGACAAACUUCUCACUGGUCCACAGUUCACACGCUGCAUCACAUCCCAGCUGGUCAAGUGGUUCAGCAACUUCCGCGAGUUCUUCUACAUACAGACAGAGAAACGCGCUCGUCAGGCCGUUACAGGGAGGGCGUGGUCACGCACAGGAAAUGGCGGUCGACCACGACUCCGAGCUCUACAGAGCCCUCAACACGCAUUUCAACAAGGCCGGAGACUUCCAGGUGCCGGACAGAUUUCUGGAGGUGACGGGAAUUACGCUGGGGGAAUUCUACACGGCCAUCUCACAGUCGAGAGACUCGGACCCUUCUUGGAAGAAAUCGAUAUACAAGGUCAUCUGUAAAUUGGACAGUGACGUCCCCGCUGAAUUCAGGUCUUCACUGAGCCCAGCAGAUGGAAGGCACUGAACUCGACAUGAAUUCUGAUGUUUAACAGGAUCAAAAUCACAAGACAAACCAGAUUCAGUUUUUUUUUUUUUUUUUAAAUGUUGCUUCUUAAUGAUCUUUAGGUUAAAAUGAUUUCUGUGUUUUAUUGGUUUAAUCUCUUCAGCAGACAGAUAAGAUUAUAACUGAGCAGCCGCCGUUCCAGUACACAAUCCAGGUUCUUACCUUCUGAACAUCUGGUCUCCAGGUGCAGAAGAGAGGUCUAAAGUUAUCAAAUACAUAGAAUCGAGAGGUGAGCAUUUCUACAAGCAUUCAAGCCCAGACUCAAAUGACAGAACAGCUAGAAAACAGCCACUCCUGAAAUGUAGAGCCAGGUAGGCACGUUGCUCCGGACGGAAUAAAGAUACCGUAUAUAACA